GAUGAACGCUGGCGGCGUGCCUAAUACAUGCAAGUCGAGCGAAUGGAUUUAGAGCUUGCUCUUAUGAAGUUAGCGGCGGACGGGUGAGUAACACGUGGGUAACCUGCCCAUAAGACUGGGAUAACUCCGGGAAACCGGGGCUAAUACCGGAUAACAUUUUGAACCGCAUGGUUCGAAAUUGAAAGGCGGCUUCGGCUGUCGCUUAUGGAUGGACCCGCGUCGCAUUAGCUAGUUGGUGAGGUAACGGCUCACCAAGGCAACGAUGCGUAGCCGACCUGAGAGGGUGAUCGGCCACACUGGGACUGAGACACGGCCCAGACUCCUACGGGAGGCAGCAGUAGGGAAUCUUCCGCAAUGGACGAAAGUCUGACGGAGCAACGCCGCGUGAGUGAUGAAGGCUUUCGGGUCGUAAAACUCUGUUGUUAGGGAAGAACAAGUGCUGGUUGAAUAAGCUGGCACCUUGACGGUACCUAACCAGAAAGCCACGGCUAACUACGUGCCAGCCGCCGCCGUAA
rnacentral:rRNA from 1 species